rnacentral:lncRNA from 1 species
CUAGAUAAAGUAAAUUAGCUCAUAACUACUACUAAAAAGAUCACCCAAAGAAAAUCUACCAUCAAUAAAAGUCAAAGAAACUGAAAAAAGAACAAAAGUAGAGAAAGAAACUAAGAUUUGUCAGAUCUCGAAUCUUCAAUCGUUCUUGAUUUUCCUUGCUUUCUUACUUGCUGGAUGACUCCUUUUCUCUAGAAAACUCUCUCUGAAUAUCCUUUUUCAAUUGCCUUAAAAGUGCCUUUAAAUAACCUCCAAAAGAUCUAAUUUGAGUUAAAUCCAGAAUCAGAAUUUCAAAGGUACCAUGUUCGCAUCACAACCUCACUUUCUCGACACCAUGGGGCCGAACUUGAUGUCUCCUAGUACGCUCUCUACUACACUUGAUGAACUAGUGAUGCAAUUUUCUCCUUCAUUUGAGGUAAAUUAGGUAAAAAAAUAAAUAUGAAAGUUGUAACCUUGUCUCUUAGAUUUCCAACGGCUUAAGAAUCAUGUCAAUUGGACUUUUAGAAUGAGAGUUAUAUUUAAAAUACUGAAACAUAGAUUGAGAGUUAUACUUAAAAUACUGAAACAUUUACAAGAUAAGCACUUGGCCAUUCAUGCACUCUUCUUCACCAAUUGGAGCCAUUUUAAUUGCACACCUACAAAAACAUAAAACUAACUUAAUAAUAACUAAACUAACAACAAAUUAUCAUCAAACUAAAAUAAAAUAAAUUAAAUUAAAUUAAAUCAACCUAACAUGAUUUACUAAACUAAGACAAAUAGCUAAAAAUAUCUAAUUCCUAAACUAAAUCUUAAGACCUUAACCAAUUUAAUACUUAAAAUAUGACAUAAUAACUCUAUAAAAUAGAGUUAUCACACCCCCAAACUUAAGAUUUUGCUAGUCCUCAAGCAAAACAUUAAAGAAAAUUUAAACAAAACAUGUAAAUGAUGAAAACACUUAAAUGAUGAAAAACAAAUAACUAAAGAUGAGUUGCACCAAGCCAAUGAUCUUGCAUAAUUUCGUUAAAUUUUAUCUUAAAAUCUCAACUCAAGGUAAAACAUAGAUAUCAUUCAAGUCCAUGAUUCAAUUCAAAUGCAAGCCUAUUCUUGAAUGGAUUUCUAUGUGUGUGUGCAAUCUUUUAUAAAGAAUAUCAUGCAAUCUAGAUAAGUUUAUUCUCAUGCAAAAUUCGAAUUAAUACUAGAAUCCAAUAGGUUUGCUUUCAUCUCUCUCUCCAUUAAUGUAGACUAACACUUAAUCAAGGAUCUUUAGGACUUUAUUUAGCUUGUAAUUGUCACGACCCAAAUUUUGGGCCAUGACCGGCGUAUGGACCCAAUGGACGUAGCCCACCAAGCCCAAGCAAGCUUCUUUAUAUGACAUGUUCAUCAUUUCAUUAAACAUUGCUAAAGUCACAUUUCAUAAUUCCAAUUCAAAAUAAUGCUAACCAUUGCCAACUCAUAGUGGCAUUACUAAUCAAAAUAUACAUAUAUUGCCUAAAACAUACAUCUUAAUAAUUUACAUCGAGUUUGUCUAUACACAACAAAAGGGAUACUCGACUUCCAACUGAGAGACCUGGGUGAAAGUAUAGUUAUUGAAUGCCGAGAUACCUACUAAGGAGAUGAAUCUACGAGGACACCUCGACCUAGUUACCGACUGCCUCUUGAUCUGAAAACAUGAAGUUGAAAAUAGUGAGUAUAAACCCAGUGAGUGAACAAAGGAAGGGAACAAGCAAACGAUAAGAAAAUUUUAAGAAAUCAUGAUGCAUUUAUUUUAAAAAAUAAUGCAAUUUAGUUUAAUUCUAGUUGAAACCCCUCAUUAAACCCUUAAUUGGUUAAUCACUUGAUGAUGAAGGAUCCAUACAUAACAAAGAAUUUGAAGAGUAAAAACUUUCGUAGCAUGCAAGCAAGUCAAAUGAAUUUUCGCUGCAGCAAAAUUUGGCUCAAAUUAUCAACUGGCCGAGGGUUUCUCAGCUGGCCAAGGGUUUCUCACUAAAACCCCUCAUUUCAAACUUCAUUAAUUAAUUCCUUGAUGUUGGAAGUCCGUGAUCAACUAUGGUGCUAAAAAAGUGGAAAAUAGGGUAGCAACCAAACAAGGUAGCAAGCACAACAAAAGGUUUCUUGCUACAGCAAAAUUUCCUAUAGACAUCUCGCUACAGCGAGAAUGUAUUCUCGCUACAGCGAGUUACAGGGCUAUAGUGAGCCUCCCAACCCGAGAGUUUCUCGCUGCAGCGAGAAACAGAACACCAAGAAAAAUUCUCAUUAUGUCAAGCAAAGGCCAUUCUAUUGCAAUGACAAAAUCAAUUUGAAAAUACUCAACAAUUUCCAAGGUUCAACAUGCAAGAUUUCACAUACAUUACAACCAUAUACCAUAUUCAUAAACUUUCUAUUGCAUAAAUAUAUAUAUAUAUAUAUAUAUAUAUAUAUAUAUAUAUAUACAUACAUAACCAUCAAUACCACCACCACCCCACCCAGCUCAUGUGCAACCCCCACAUCGCGCACAUAGUUGAAGUCAUCAUGUGCAUCCCCCACAUCGUACACAACUAAUACCGCUGUGUGCAUCCCUCACAUCAUGCACAAGCAAUAUCAUUAUCCACACUCCCGCACCCAUCAUCACCGACAUGUGCUCCCCCACAUAGUGCAUAUGCUCGGUUUUAAUUACAAACAAUAUUACUAUCAAUACAUAUCAUAUAUAUUUAGAUAUAUAUAUAUAUAUAUAUUAACAUAACACAUGGCACAUGGAUUCAUCACAGUUGCAUUCCACAAUGCAAAACGUUUCAUUAAAAGCUUGUUCCCAUGCAUAUUUUAGAGAAAGACAGAUAAAAUAUUUCAAUGGAUUUAAUCAAACACAUAUGCUCUAAUCCCAAAAUAUUUUAAUGCAAAUUCACUCACCUUGGUGGGUUUGUAAUUGAAUUUCUUUUCAAAAUUCUUCCAAGCUAUUAUAGAAGCUCCCUCUUUCUCUCUCUAAAACACCUAGCUAGUGAGAGGAAGUAUGAAAGUAACACUUUUCAAGGGUUUUAAAGUGAGAGAGUGAAAGAACACAAAAGAUUCUAUGAAAAAGUGCACAAAAGCAUGAAAAUUAAAGCUAACUUGAGAAAAGUUACGGAGGUUUCAUAACAAGCUUCCAUGGAGGGUGAAAGAAACGUGAGAUGGGAGGAAGAAGAA